UGCAUGUCACAAAGAUGUCAUCCCAACAUCUCCAUGUCUCCUGCUCUACAAGAGUUUGUUGUAUAAGAAGUUCCCAUGGCUGGGAGCUCAAGUUUCAUUCCAUAGGGGUUUACUUUGGAAAGAAACUUGUUCCUGCAGCUCAUGUCCACGUGACCUCUUCCAGCUUCUAAGUGCAGCUUGGGUUUAUUCCAGCAAAUGUUGGAAUAAACAACAAUGGAAAUGGAAAAUCCGAUAGCAAGAGAUUUCUUGCAGUUGGAUGGAGACAGAACUGGAGUCUGAGCUCCAAGCUGGCUCCAACCUUUGCCUCUCCAACAUGGACAGGCCGAUAUCUUAGCUCCAGGCUUUCCUACCUAUUUGUGGAGCAGAGGAAGGACACAGUGUAAUCAUAAUCUCGUAAUCAAUCCUGUAAAAAUUACCAGAUAAAAAGGUAUAAAUAGCUGUUGGAACAGGCACUGGAAACCAACCUCCACAUUUCAGGAGACAGCCCAAUUCCUUUGGCUUGCAGAUGGCCUUCCUGCCACCCCGCUUUGAUCCAGAGAUUGAAUCCCGGAUCUGCUGCAUAAAGACUCAGUUUCAGCACAAUGGACAAAGAAUGCUCUCCCCUGCCUCCCCAACACGUAGGCUGCCUGCUGCCAAAGCCAUUAGUGGAGCCUCGUACGAGAGUUUGAACCUCCACAGAGAGGACGUGGAAGGUUUUCGGCUUCCCAGGAUAUGCUUGAAAGGCAGCAGCAAUUAUCUCCUCUCCCUGCUGCCCCCCAAGAGCACAGAGAGAGCCUGUUUCAUUCUUUCAAAGAGAGAUCACAAGAUCACAUACAGCCGUGAAAAGAUUUUGCUCUGAAAGCAGCCAGAAAAAAGCUGGAAGCCUUCCUGAUGCCAGAUCUUUGGCCAAGCUGAGUACAGAUUUCUGAUCCGACUGCACACUUGCAUUUAUCAGAAAGAUUCACAGCAGGGUUGGAUAUCUGCCAGAAGAGCUGAGCAAAUUCAGAUGGAAGAUCAAAACUCUCAUUUAUGCCUUCCAAAGUUGCAAAACAUGAUGCCAGUUUUACCACAGGACAUAACAAGGUCACUUUUUCUUAAAUCUUUCUAUCAAGGCAAGCUGGAUUUCUAGAACAACCUGAUAUAGCUCAACAAUUUAGUUCCUUAAAACUGUGAAAUUCCUCCUCCUGCCUUUGCUCUGCAACAGGUCACUCCAGGUGACUCCUGACCUUAAACACAAAAAUCUUUGUGUGAAGGGAUUGAGUGCAAAAGGGGGAGAAGCACAACAUUUAAAGGACACACGUGUUUGCUGAGAAUACAGGUUCCGUAGUCAUCCACUUGGAUGACUGCUUCCCUGCACAUCCCAUUCCCAGAUGAAGUGAUCUUUCUGCCUGGUUUACAGAGAAAUGUAUUGCAUGUAAUGGUUAUUUUCUUUUUAAAAAAUCUAGGGAGACACGAU